rnacentral:rRNA from 1 species
UACGAAGGGGGCUAGCGUUGCUCGGAAUCACUGGGCGUAAAGGGUGCGUAGGCGGGUCUUUAAGUCAGGGGUGAAAGCCCAGAGCUCAACUCUGGAACUGCCCUUGAAACUGUAUGGCUUGAGUACGAGAGAGGUGAGUGGAAUUCCCAGUGUAGAGGUGAAAUUCGUAGAUAUUGGGAAGAACACCGGUGGCGAAGGCGGCUCACUGGCUCGUAACUGACGCUCAUGCACGACAGCGUGGGGAUCAAACAGG